rnacentral:misc_RNA from 1 species
UUUCCGUAGGUGAACCUGCGGAUGGAUCAUUAUUGUAGAACCGAGGUGCGAGGGCUGUCGAUGACCCGAAUGGUCCUGCAAGCCCGAGUGCCAGCACACUCGUCCAUCUUACCCCUACUUGCACCACCGCGUGGGUCCCGCUUUGGCUUGUUCGGAGGGGGGCUUACGUUUUCACACAAACUUUGUAUGCAGUGUAGAAUGUAUUUUUUGUUUUUGCGAUCACGCAAUCAAUACAACUUUCAACAACGGAUCUCUUGGCUCUC